rnacentral:rRNA from 1 species
GACGAGGGAUCCUAGCGUUGUUCGGAAUCAUUGGGCGUAAAGCGGGUGUAGGUGGCUUUGUAAGUCAGGUGUGAAAGCCCAGGGCUCAACCCUGGAACUGCAUUUGAUACUGCGAAGCUUGAGUGCUGGAGAGGCUAUUAGAAUUCCUGGUGUAGUGGUGAAAUACGUAGAUAUCAGGAGGAAUACCGGAGGCGAAGGCGGAUAGCUAGCCAGACACUGACACUCAGACCCGAAAGUGUGGGGAUCAAACAGG